rnacentral:rRNA from 1 species
GACGAACGCUGGCGGCGUGCUUAACACAUGCAAGUCGAACGGAAAGGCCCUGCUUUUGUGGGGUGCUCGAGUGGCGAACGGGUGAGUAACACGUGAGUAACCUGCCCUUGACUUUGGGAUAACUUCAGGAAACUGGGGCUAAUACCGGAUAGGAGCUCCUGCUGCAUGGUGGGGGUUGGAAAGUUUCGGCGGUUGGGGAUGUACUCGCGGCUUAUCAGCUUGUUGGUGGGGUAGUGGCUUACCAAGGCUUUGACGGGUAGCCGGCCUGAGAGGGUGACCGGCGACAUUGGGACUGAGAUACGGCCCAGACUCCAACGGGAGGCAGCAGUGGGGAAUAUUGCACAAUGGGAGGAAGCCUGAUGCAGCAACGCCGCGUGCGGGAUGACGGCCUUCGGGUUGUAAACCGCUUUAGCCUGUGACGAAGCGUGAGUGACGGUAAUGGGUAAAGAAGCACCGGCUAACUACGUG